rnacentral:rRNA from 1 species
UCGAGAAUAAUUCACAAUGGGGGAAACCCUGAUGGUGCAACGCCGCGUGGAGGAUGAAGGUCUUCGGAUUGUAAACUCCUGUCAUCUGGGAGUAAGGCGUGGCGAUGAAUAGUCGACACGAUUGAUAGUACCAGAAGAGGAAGGGACGGCUAACUUCGUGCCAGCAGCCGCGGUAAUACGAAGGUCCCAAGCGUUGUUCGGAAUCACUGGGCGUAAAGGGAGCGUAGGCGGCGUGGUAAGUCAGAUGUGAAAUCCCGGGGCUCAACCCCGGAACUGCAUCCGAUACUGCCAUGCUUGAGGGUUGGAGAGGUAGCUGGAAUUCUCGGUGUAGCAGUGAAAUGCGUGGAUAUCGAGAGGAACACUCGUGGCGAAGGCGAGCUACUGGACAACAUCUGACGCUGAGGCUCGAAGGCUAGGGUAGCGAAAG